CCGUGCUAGGUGGGGAGGUAGCGGUGCCCUGUAACCCACAAUCCGCUAUAGUGGGGCUGAAUUCCCGUUCGAGGCCAGGUCAUUGUAUGGCCUGCCGCAAGGGAGCAGUGUUGACGCUUGGGUCCUGCGCAAUAGAAACUCGCGAACCCUGUCAGGUCCGGAAGGAAGCAGCAGUAAGCGAACCCUUCUAUGUGACGCAGGAUCGCCUGGGCCGAGCUGCAAACUUGCGUAACGCAUAUGAUGGCCUGGUCGACAACGGGUGCACGG
rnacentral:SRP_RNA from 2 species